GACGUAGGGCGCGAGCGUUGUCCGGAUUUAUUGGGCGUAAAGAGCUCGUAGGCGGCUUGUCGCGUCGACCGUGAAAACUCGCAGCUCAACUGCGAGCCUGCGGUCGAUACGGGCAGGCUAGAGUUCGGUAGGGGAGACUGGAAUUCCUGGUGUAGCGGUGAAAUGCGCAGAUAUCAGGAGGAACACCGAUGGCGAAGGCAGGUCUCUGGGCCGAUACUGGCGCUGAGGAGCGAAAGGCGUGGGGAGCGAACAGG
rnacentral:rRNA from 1 species